GCAGCCUAGUUUUUAAGUGUGUUCGUAUAAAAUGCAAAGCUCCUGGUGUUGUUGUCAUUUCUGCCUACCUAUCUGCCUACCUCUUUGCAUGUUUGUCCAUUCUUUAAAUAAAUAUGUUGAGAACAUUCACUUUUGGUUGAGACAUCUCAAACAGAACUCACUAAACGUAUCUUUUGAAUUUAAAAAAUCGUUGGCAAAAUCACACAAAUCGUCUAUCUUUAGACAGCCAGUAGAGGGCAGCAGAUGAUGGACGAUUACAUUUAUAGCAGAGAAAGCAGCUGUGUGAGCUCAAAUACUGAAUCAUUUACUCUUUCAGUUUUUUUUCUAGAGAGGGGUUUUUCAACUAGUGCAUUUUCCUUUUGUAGAGAGCUAUUGUAAUGCCAGCAAAGUCUCACACAUGGGCUGGAACUUGAUGUUACUUCUGUGAACCUCUGCAAUACUAUCUCAGUUAUCCUGCGGAAUGAAGUUUUAACAGAUCAAGAAAAGUCAUGUGAGAUGGUUUGGGUAUGUCGUAAUGAUGCCCCCAGGAAGCUCCUGGAACUACUCUGGGCAUUUCCCAUUGGUGAAAGAUCCUGCAUCAGACCAAGGGCACAUUGAAGAAGUAAUAUCCCUCAGCAGGCUUGGGAAUGCCUGGAAAUUGCCCAGGAAGAAUAAUAUCACUUCUAGAAAGAGUACCAAUUUAAAAGCAAGAUCUGCUGAUCCCAGAAUCAAGCAGGAUUCUGAAAGCCAAGAACACUGAAGCACCAAAGAAUGGUUCAAGAAAGAGAGUCAAACAGCCAAGAGGCAUGAUUAAAGUGCCAGAGAAGAGCACCAUAAAGCUAUGAGGGAAGCUCAAAGUGCCUGAAAACUGAUUGGGAGAGGCACUCUCGGGCAAGAAAGACACGGAGUGUAGAGGAACAGUCCCAGUGACUGGAAACUGACCGAGUGAGACACAAGCCAAUCAGGGAGGAAGAGAGUGUAGAAGAAUGCCAACAGUGACUGGAGACUGAUCGACAGAGGAAUAGGGAGUUGGGAGAAGCAAUAUCCCACCACCAGUGUGAAAAACAUUUAGAAUCUCACUGCUAAUGCAGGCCCCACACUUGAUGCCUGCUCAAGAAGUAAAUGCCAGAUAACCACUGAGAGAGUGGGUAGAUAAAUUCUAAUAGAGUUGCCUUAACUAUGACCCGCUAUGUCACUAUUUUGUAACGAUGGGUUGCAGACAUUUUUGAUAGGUCACCAUAUGAUUGUGUAGUGAAAUUAACCAAAUUCAUCCAUCUGCAAAUUCUAUGCAAAAUGAUAUGCCACCCACUGUUUAGCAUACAAUUUAUUGCACAAGUAUGCGAAACAAUGGCAUUAAAGCAUCACAGAGGGCUUCUGUUUCUAUGACAUGAAAAUAUAAAAAGCAGAAAAUAUGAAAAGGUUGAGAUAAGCAUUAUGCAUUCAGCACAAUGUCUGCAGUUAGAAUUACAGUGGGUAUAAAAAAAGAAUCACUUCCAUUCAAAAUAUUCACAUUGUGUUGCUUUUGCAGCCUGAAACAGCAAGACAAGACAAGACAAGACAAGAUAAGAUAAGAUAAGAUAAGAUAAGAUAAGAUAAGAUAAGAUUGGGCUUUAUUAAUCCUCAAAGGGAAAUUUAGGUGUUCCAGCAGCUCACAGCCAAACUGAAACAAGUACAUUUAGAUUAAAUAGUUAAAACACAUAAUAAACUAUUUAAAACGAAACAGAUAAGAUAAAUAAAAACCAUAAAAUACCAAAAAUAUUGGUGUAUUACCAAUUCACACUCAUAAAUACAGUGCAGUAUGUGCAAUAAAUGUGAUACAUAGGAUGACCAGUAACCACAAAUAAAGUGUCUAAUGAUGGGUAAAGUACCAGUGAUUACAGAGUCUGAUGUCCCAUACAUACAGUACAUGAAAUAAUCCAGUAACAGAUACAUGAUUAAAAGUCCAGACUUGUUUAGUCUGAUAGCAGCAGGAACAAAGGCCCCAUAAAAGCUUUCCCUCCUGCAGUAGGACGGGAGCAGUCUGUUGCUCAUUGCACUCUUUUGGCCCUGCAAUAAUUUAUGGAGCAGAUGGGAAGGAAUUAAUGACACUUUUGCCUGCAUCCUCCUCUCUACUAUCACCUCCAAAGUGUCCAGUUUCACCCUGAGGACUGAACUGGCCUUUUCUGAUGAUCUUGUUCAGUCUGUUUGUAUCCUUGACUGUCAUACUGCUGCCCCAACACACCACAGAUUAAAAGAUGGCACUCAAUACCACAGACUCACAGAAAGUCCUCAGAAGCAGACCUCUCACACCAAAUGCCCUCAGCUUCCUCAAAAAAUAAGGUUGUCUCUGCCCCUUCUUGUACAAAAUGUCCCAUUCUGUUCCCAUUGCUAUUAUAUCUUUCACUUGGCUCAUAUAUGUUGCAUUGAAUAAAUACAUCUGGAGAAAUAUGUUUUGUGUGUGUCUUCAUUUCUGGCUGCAAAGCAACAAAAUAGAAAUAUUUUGAAAGGGUGUGGGGAUUCUUUUCUAUACAGAAUACAUAUAAUUAGUAGUGACCCGAAAUUUGUGCGAUAGACAUAUGAGCGCCGACAAAAUAGCGCCCAUUAAAACGGGCGUCAAAAUUGCGCCGACAAAAUCCCGAAAGUUUAAUUAAAUAUGAAUUACUAGUUUAAAGCAUAUAUAACAAUGUUUAUUUUAGAAGUCAAUAUUAUGAGA